rnacentral:rRNA from 1 species
AUUGAACGCUGGCGGCGUGCCUAACACAUGCAAGUCGAGCGGUAACAGGCGUAGCAAUACGUGCUGACGAGCGGCGGACGGGUGAGUAACGCUUAGGAAUCUACCUAGUAGUGGGGAACAACCCGGGGAAACUCGGGCUAAUACCGCAUACGCCCUUCGGGGAAAGGCGGGGAGUCGCAAGACCUCGCGCUAUUGGAUGAGCCUAAGUCGGAUUAGCUAGUUGGUAGGGUAACGGCCUACCAAGG